CGGGCUCUCCUCUCUCCCUCUCCUCCCGAUCCCAGCCGCCAGGAGGCGCACGACCUGCGCGACGCUCGAUCCGGUGCCGCGCCGGCCGAUGGCCGACGCCGGUGAUCGGAGCACACUACACCACCGGUCUUCCUCAGCUCCUCCUUUCCUUUGCGCGCCCGACCUCCUCGCUGUACGCUGCCCAGGAGGGCUCGCGCUCGCCGCUCGACCAGAGCCACCACCAGCCAGUCCGGUUCCGCGCCGGCCGCCGGCCGAUGGCCGACGGAGGUGUUCGAAGCAUCCUGCACCACCAGUCUUCUUCGUCUCCUCCUUUCCUUCGCAUGCCCGAGCUCCUCGCUGUACGCCGCCCGGGAGGUCUCAUGCUCGCCGCUCGACCAGAGCCACCGCCAGCCAGUCAUCGCUGCACUUGCCCGCGACCUCUCCGUCCCUCUACACCGCCCUUCACCUCAACUUUAGACGCACAUGUGUUUGUGGAUGUUCUCAGUUAUUUUUUGCACACAAGGUGUUUGUGUGUUUGUCCCAGCCAGUUUCAGUCACAGAUCCUUGAGGUAAACUCCGACAUAUGAGACUAACUCUCCUUUCAUAUGAUUCAAAAAAUGGUAUGAUGGUGGGAGUUAAUUGGGUUACUAGAAUAAUGGGUUGCUAAUUAAUUUACAUCAUGUGGAGUCUCAAGACACAUGGGUACGCCGGCUCCUAUUGUUUGACAAAUGUAUUAUCAAAUUUUCUUUAAUCGUAUAAAGAAGUUGCAGUUUGGUGUUGCCCUUUUUUAUGCCUAGACACAGCAGCUCCAAUAAGAUCUGGACGCUCAUGGUGGAUAUAUUAAUUAUUCUUAUAAUGGUCAUCUGAAUUUGCAGAGACAAUUAGAUUUUGGAAGAAGAAUCCUUGCCUCAUAAGAUGGAUGAGCUGUAGGAUUUCGUUCUGUUCAUCUUGAAUUAGUUUUUCAUCAUCAUUUUCUUUGUAUUAGGAAUUCAUGCCUUCCAGCUCUAUUUUUUGCAUGGUUAGUGUAUGCUGGGAGUCACAUUGUUAUGCAUGCUAGCAAACAGUAGGAUUGAAAGUCUUACCCUGUAGGUUAUUAAUAUCUUUUCCACUAUAUUGAUGUUCAGCAAUUUAAUUCAUAUAAGGUCACAUAAGCAGUUUGGUUUUCAGAUCUGUCUUGACAAACAUAUUUGGUUCAGCAAUUUAAUUCGUAUUAAAGUCACACAAGCAGUUUGGUUUUUAGAUUUGUCUUGACAAACAUAUUUUGCAGACUAUCCUUGCAUAAACAAUUGAUUUCUGCAAGUUCCUUUCACUUCUUAUUAAUUUCUUCCCUUGGUUAUGAUGUACUGCUAUUCGUUUUCAUGAUGAUUCGUGUGUUUUGUAGUUUUCACUCACAGAAUCUUCUUUCUAAACAAGAUUGGUUCCCAUUGUUACGGUCAAGUAGCCACCGAGCAGUAAGGCCAUUGAGUGACACAAGACCGCGGGACAGCAUGAGAAGAAGCAGAGGGGUUUCUGGCGGGAUGGGGAAGACCACGAGGAAGUGUGGCAAUGGAGUGCAAUCCCGAUGAAGAAGAACAUUGCAAAGAAAGACCCUAGCCAAGCGCCACCCAAUUACCUCUCACCGACCAAUCUAAUGGCCAUAAAUUCAAUUGGUCCAAGCUGCUGCGUUGACCUUCCCAUUGAUCCACUACAUCCUCGCUCAGCUGCUUCUGCUAUGCUUCUUCUCCAUGGCAUUGCCAGCUGCCAGCGUGCCUGACAUCGCGCCUUAUGUGAGCCGAUAUGAUGCUCCUCUACGUGUUCUUAUCACCCCGUUUUCCAUGAGGAGAGAUCUUCUACGGUUCUGUAGCUCUACUCCAUAGUAAUGAUGAAGUCUCCUCAAGAUGGAUAGCAAUUAUCUCGGGAUCAUGAGCUGAGCAACGGCCAAGGGGCAUAUGCUUCUCCUACCACUAACAUCUUCAUCCUAUUUGAGCCAGAGUAGCUUUGGUGUCCUCUCUCACUCAUGGUGAGGCUGUGCACGUUUGCCAUCGUUGUGGCUACGAAAUCUCAGACUGAGUCGCAUCGGGCGGGCACUAUUCAGGAAAUAUGACAGCGAAGACGGCCUCCAUGCCUCUCGAUCGAGUAAAUCUCUCCUGGCCUUCAAGAGGCUGCUGGAAAUCAACCACCGCGAGGUCCUCAAGGAGCUCUACCGUAGGAAAAUCAACAACGUUCGAUACGUAUUCUGUUCCAAAGCUAUCUACUUCAUGGUGUACGAGAAGUACCGCAGCUGGCUCCUAGGCACUAUUCCCUCGCUCGGCGGCCGGCUGGUCAGGACUUGCUUGCCGGGUCGGCCGCGACGGCACAUCCCCAAUAGAUACGUAUCCCCUCAACUCGCCUGCUGUCAUAGUUUGCUUGGUACCCUCACUAAUACAUGUUCAAUCCGAUAUAUGUUAUGACAAUCUGAAGCGCGCCGGGCCAUGGACAAUGUUCGAUAAAGCGGCCAUUACUAGCGACGUGAUGGAGACAUUGUCCACAAUCCUUGAAUUGACUAGAAUCACAGGAGACCUGCAGUUUAAGAUGGUGCUCGUCUAUGCCUUUUUGGUCUAACUCUGAAAUCCAUCAGUACCUCUGGUUAGCCAAGGACGAGGUUGAAUUUUCAUUGGCUCAGAUUUGCUGUGGCAUGUUGGCAUUGCUAACUACCCAUAACACAUGGUCAAUCGAGUUUCAUUUUGGUAUUGUGAGUCUGGGAGCGCACAUGCACUCUGUUUACUGGCCAUUGAAGAGGGACGGCCUUUGCACGUCAGGGGGUUCAGAUUGACGGAAAAUUGAGCUGGACUGUUCUGCUCAUGUUAAUUGAUGGAGCUAAAUGUAUUGCCUGGCGGAAGAUUAGUAUAAUAGAAAAAUGGGGUAGGGUUGCUCGUCCGUUCCGUAUAGAACCAGAAGCCAAGAUACAAAUACACAAUUCAGAACCUUUAUGUGGUGUGAACAAGAUGAACAACAGGAGAGAAUGGAGAGGGAAUCGAAAUUAAAUGGAAAACAGGGUUAGCGGCUCAGAUCAGCGACAUGAACUCCUCGAUUUUCCCUAUUGUAUUAGCCCAAGUACGGAGUAUCUUUAUCCUGCUCUCGCCAGUGGGAUACGAAACGCACUCUUCCAUCCAGUUCCUCCACCCGGUCAACCCAAGUACAUUGCAAAUUUUGUUUGCUUGUAGGGAAGCAUCAUUGAAUUAAAUGUAUUUACGAGUUAUAAAUGUUAAGUAUGUGGAUACUUUUUCCCCGUUGCAAUGCACGAGCAUUUUGUAUCGGGCUGUCCUGGUGUUGCAACCUAGGAAGUACAAACAGGGUCCGUCGGCACCACAGAUGAAAACCUUGUUGAGCCUUAUUUUUGCAGGUUGCCUUA